AGUCACAGAGUAUAUUUAUAAUUUGGUUUAUAUGAGCAACAGUGUAAGUUGAGGAAAAUUGGUUUCCUUUUCAAAAUGUCAUGUUUCUCAUUUCCUCGGAAUCUCGGGCUGCUUCGAGCUCUUAUCAGCCUUUAAAUCAUUCAAAAACACACUCCCUAAUUAAAAUGCUGUAAAUCCUCAUGAAUCAAUUUAGGAUUUUUGAUUUGUUCUAAACCAGUUUUUAAAUAAAGUUGAAAGCUUACUAAAAUAUGAGAUAAUAAAUACAAGUGCAAAGCAAAGGAAAGAAGCCCACAUGCGGAUAGCUGAUGGUGGAGUCAGAGCUGGGAUGAAAACCAAGACUUGUGGACACGAGGGAAGUGGUUCUGGGCCCCCAGAGCAGGAACAAGGUCGCUUUCUGUUCAGCCUCCCAUGAAGCAUACAAGUGGCUGCGGGAGAAUCUGCUUGAAAAAGAAAGAACUUUUCUGAAUUGCGAGGUGACUUGAAAACACUGUAUUGUAAUGGCUGGCAUUGGCUGGAGAAGAGGGAAGGGGGUGUCGCAGCGGGGAUGCACCAGCCUGCCACCGACAUGGACCUGUGCCCAACUCCAGCUUGACUCCAAGUAACACACAAUCGUAAGUCAAAGUAAUAAGAGCAUUUAAUUGGUCACUAGUGACUGUUUUAGUAAUUUACUGUGUGGCAUCAAAGGAUUAAAAAAAAGGCCCACAAGGGAAAGCAGGGGAGCCACGGUCCUAAAAGUUUCCCUUGAGCAGGACCCAGGGGGAUUCUCCGAGAUGACCCCACUGCUCCAGGAGCACUGAUCCUGCUGGCGAUCAGCCCUGCUGGCCCCCAGCCUCACAGAAAGCCCACAGACAAGCCAAAAUGAUGCCCAGCUCUUUGGUUUAUUGGGUACCAUCCAAAUCCCACAACCUUCCUGAGGGGAGGCUGGAUGGGGAUGACUGCUGCCACACUCGAAAUAACUCAGUUUAGGCCAAUGGGAUGCAGUGCCUGGCUGUUGUUUUCAAAGGGUAAAAUGUCACUGAUGGCAGAUUUUUAACCUAGUGCAAUUCAGCAGAUAUUUGAUACUUUUAUUUCCUUCUGCUGACUUUAUACGGUGGAACAGGAGGCGGUUUGCACAGAUUAAACAGUAUUCUGUCUGCAAAUUAAAAUCAAUAACUUAUUUAUAGGGCUGCCGAUGUUCCCACAGCAAAACAAGCCUGCCAAGUGGCUGUAAAAGUCCCGAAUCAAAUGCCGUGUAUCUCCAGCCCAUCUACGCAGUUGGCUGUCUGUGGCCAUAGAUACAACACAACUUAUCUAGUAAUUGUAUCGCCUGGUA
rnacentral:lncRNA from 1 species